CUACGGGAGGCAGCAGUGGGGAAUAUUGGACAAUGGGCGCAAGCCUGAUCCAGCCAUGCCGCGUGUGUGAAGAAGGUCUUCGGAUUGUAAAGCACUUUAAGUUGGGAGGAAGGGCAGUAAGCGAAUACCUUGCUGUUUUGACGUUACCGACAGAAUAAGCACCGGCUAACUCUGUGCCAGCAGGCGCGGUAAU
rnacentral:rRNA from 1 species